rnacentral:rRNA from 1 species
UACGAAGGGGGCUAGCGUUGUUCGGAAUUACUGGGCGUAAAGCGCGCGCAGGCGGUUCUUCAAGUCAGUGGUGAAAGCCCGGAGCUCAACUCCGGAACUGCCAUUGAAACUGUAGAACUUGAGGAUGAGAGAGGUGAGUGGAAUUCCCAGUGUAGAGGUGAAAUGCGUAGAUAUCGGAAGGAACACCAGUGGCGAAAGCGGCUUCCUGGUCCAGCACCGACGUUCAGGCACGAAAGCGUGGGGAGCAAACAGG